rfam:Gossypium arboreum cultivar AKA8401 contig_26273_5, whole genome shotgun sequence.
AACCCAUGGUGAGGGCACAUUUUCAAUAAAUCCUCGUAUCUCUCCCAUGCAUCAUAUAAAGUCUCUAAAUUGAUCUGAACAAAGGAAGAGACGUCGUUCCUCAACAU